UACGUAGGGUGCAAGCGUUGUCCGGAAUUAUUGGGCGUAAAGAGCUCGUAGGCGGUUCGUCGCGUCGGCUGUGAAAUCCCGAGGCUCAACCUCGGGUCUGCAGUCGAUACGGGCGGACUGGAGUUCGGCAGGGGAGGACUGGGAAUUCCUGGUGUAGCGGUGAAAUGCGCAGAUAUCGGGAGGAACACCGGUGGCGAAGGCGGUUCUCUGGGCCUGUAC
rnacentral:rRNA from 1 species